GUUACGUAUUGCUGUCCAUCCGAUCGCCGCCUGUUUAUCAAAACAUCGCCUCUUGAACUUUAUAAGAGGUCCAGCCUGCCCAGUGACUCUGUUCAACGGCCGCGGUAUCCUAACCGUGCGAAGGUAGCGUAAUCACUUGUUCUUUAAAUGGGGACUAGUAUGAAUGGCACUACGAGGGUUACACUGUCUCCUUUUUCUAAUCAGUGAAACUAAUUUUCCCGUGAAGAAGCGGGAAUUCACCUAUUAGACGAGAAGACCCUAUGGAGCUUUAAACAAUCCAGCAAUUACUUUUAAAAUUAUAAAUUUCAGAAUAUUCAUUUUUAAGCAAUGUGUCUGCAAGUUUUUGGUUGGGGUGACCAUGGAGAAUAACACAACCUCCAUAUUGAAUGAAUCCUAUUCUAAGCUAAAAUUACUAAUUGAAGCAUCAACAUACUGACAUCUAUUGACCCAAUAUAUUUGAUCAACGAACCAAGUUACCCUAGGGAUAACAGCGCAAUCCACUUCAAGAGCCCCUAUCGACAAGUGGGUUUACGACCUCGAUGUUGGAUCAGGGUAUCCCAGUGGCGCAGCCGCUACUAAAGGUUUGUUUGUUCAACAAUUAAAACCCUACGUGAUCUGAGUUCAGACCGGGCGAUCGGAUGGACAGCAACAAUGCAACUGAACGAAGUAAUACUGAU
rnacentral:rRNA from 1 species